GCUGUUUGCCUUGUUGGUGACUGCAGAACUGCUUCUUUUAGUGAACUGCCCACGGUGACGCCCAGCUCUGAUGCACGCAGGUAACAGCCGGAGUAGAGCCUCUCCCAGCAUAGCUCGGAUUUCGGAUACUUCUGCCCAGGGGCAUCGCUGGACACAGAGCGAUGCUGAGGUUCAAUCCCACUCCUGAAACCACCUGCUACAAGAUCAGCACAGCCCUGACCAGGGAUCAGGAGAAAAACCGGACAGACGGCAGAAAUACCUGCAGGCCAAGACCAGACAGCAGCCACCCUUUGUGCCUGCAUUGCCUCGAGGCAGGAUUGCACAGGACUGUGGGUAACAAGCUGGAGAUCCCCAGUGACUGAUAAGGUGCCAAUUAGCUGCCAGCCUCCCCACCCCUGAGCUUCAAAAUCAGGCUUAUAUUGGCCCUAUUUGCCUUUCUUCCUUACAUAUAUUUUGCAACGAGGGGAAUCCAGUGGGGGGUUGCCACUUCCAGGAGUCCCAUCUUCCCUUUCCUUUGGGAAACCAUCAGUUUUCUACCUCCUUCAAAGCCCCCAAAGGCAAG
rnacentral:lncRNA from 1 species